GUUUGAUCAUGGCUCAGGACGAACGCUGGCGGCGUGCUUAACACAUGCAAGUCGAACGGUCCCGGAGUUCGGGGUUGGGUGCUUGAAGUUUGAAAAGAAGGAAUUGGCCAAAGGGCAAUUCCAACAAGAUCGAACCUCGAACAUCGAACCUCGAACUUCGAGGAUAGUGGCGGACGGGUGAGUAACGCGUGGAUAACCUGCCCACGAGACCGGGAUAACGCCGGGAAACUGGUGCUAAUACCGGAUAAGCUCUUCAGGGUGCAUGCCAGGGAGAGGAAAGGGGAAACCCGCUGGUGGAUGGAUCCGCGUCCCAUUAGCUAGUUGGAGGGGUAACGGCCCACCAAGGCGACGAUGGGUAGCCGGCCUGAGAGGGUGGCCGGCCACACUGGGACUGAGACACGGCCCAGACUCCUACGGGAGGCUG
rnacentral:rRNA from 1 species